CCUACGGGGGGCUGCAGUGGGGAAUAUUGGACAAUGGGCGAAAGCCUGAUCCAGCCAUGCCGCGUGUGUGAAGAAGGCCUUCGGGUUGUAAAGCACUUUCAGUGGGGAAGAAAGCCUUGGGGCUAAUACCCUCGAGGAAGGACAGCACCCACAGAAGAAGGACCGGCUAACGCCGUGCCAGCAGCCGCGGUAAUACGGAGGGUGCGGGCGUUAAUCGGAAUUACUGGGCGUAAAGCGCGCGUAGGCGGUCUGAUAAGCCGGUUGUGAAAGCCCCGGGCUCAACCUGGGAACGGCAUCCGGAACUGUCAGGCUAGAGUACAGGAGAGGAAGGUAGAAUUCCCGGUGUAGCGGUGAAAUGCGUAGAGAUCGGGAGGAAUACCAGUGGCGAAGGCGGCCUUCUGGACUGAUACUGACGCUGAGGUGCGAAAGCGUGGGUAGCAAACAGGAUUAGAUACCCUGGUAGUC
rnacentral:rRNA from 1 species